rnacentral:rRNA from 1 species
GAUGAACGCUGGCGGCGUGCCUAACACAUGCAAGUCGAGCGGAGAUAAGAGGAGUACUUGUACGAAUUUUAUCUUAGCGGCGGACGGGUGAGUAACACGUGAGUAACCUGCCUUUUACUGGGGAAUAACAUCGAGAAAUCGGUGCUAAUACCGCAUAAUGUCACGAGGCUGCAUGGCCAUGUGACCAAAGGAGCAAUUCGGUAAAAGAUGGACUCGCGUCCGAUUAGGUAGUUGGUGAGGUAACGGCCCACCAAGCCUACGAUCGGUAGCCGAACUGAGAGGUUGAUCGGCCACAUUGGGACUGAGACACGGCCCAGACUCCUACGGGAGGCAGCAGUGGGGAAUAUUGGGCAAUGGGGGAAACCCUGACCCAGCAACGCCGCGUGAAGGAUGAAGGUCUUCGGAUUGUAAACUUCUUUGAUCAGGGACGAAGAAAUGACGGUACCUGAAGAACAAGCCACGGCUAACUACGUGCCAGCCGCCGCGGUAA